UACGAAGGUGGCAAGCGUUACUCGGAAUUACUCGGCGUAAAGGGCAGGUAGGCGGUCUCGUUAGUCUGUUGUGAAAGCUCCUUGCUUAACGGGGAGAGGCCAACAGAUACUGCGAGGCUUGAGUAUAGGAGAGGGUACUGGAAUUCCCGGUGUAGCGGUGAAAUGCGCAGAGAUCGGGAGGAACACCAAUGGCGAAAGCAGGUACCUGGACUAUUACUGACGCUAAGCUGCGAAAGCUAGGGGAGCAAACAGG
rnacentral:rRNA from 1 species